GAUGAACGCUGGCGGCGUGCUUAACACAUGCAAGUCGAACGGAAAGGCCCAAGCUUGCUUGGGUACUCGAGUGGCGAACGGGUGAGUAACACGUGGGUGAUCUGCCCUGCACUUCGGGAUAAGCCUGGGAAACUGGGUCUAAUACCGGAUAGGACGAUGGUUUGGAUGCCAUUGUGGAAAGUUUUUUCGGUGUGGGAUGAGCUCGCGGCCUAUCAGCUUGUUGGUGGGGUAAUGGCCUACCAAGGCGUCGACGGGUAGCCGGCCUGAGAGGGUGUACGGCGACAUUGGGACUGAGAUACGGCGCAGACUCCUACGGGAGGCAGCAGUGGGGAAUAUUGCACAAUGGGCGCAAGCCUGAGGCAGCGACGCCGCGUGGGGGAUGACGGCCUUCGGGUUGUAAACUCCUCUCGCUAGGGACGAGGCGUUUUUGUGACGGUACCUGGAGAAGAAGCACCGGCUAACUACGUG
rnacentral:rRNA from 1 species